UUUUCUACCGGCUCUACUUCAACAACCCGGCUCGGCUCGGCCCGGCUCGGCUCUGUUUCGGAGUGACCGCGUUUCCACCGGCCCAACUUGGCUCUGUAGCAGGGCACCGCCUCCUGGUGGCGGAGGGGUGUAGCGCCCCGCCUCCAGGUGCUUAUGUGCUGUGCUUCGUUACUAUUAUGCGACCUAACGCGAGUUGUUGUUUUUCUGAUACAAAAGAAGAAGAGAGAGCUGAGCUAUUUUUUGUAGCCUGAUUGCGAUUUUCUGAGACUUCAAGAAAAUGCGACAGUGGGAGAAAUGCUGCGAUGUGGUGAGGAAGAGCUGAUCUCCGCCUUGCAGCGGCAGGAAAGCAGGUGGCUCAGACGGUUCAGACCAUCGUGGUUCUUCGUGCAGCCUUUGGGUUGUAGGAUGUCUCAUCAGUGUCCGUCUUCCUGACUGCUGGUCGGUGUUUACCUUCAGGAUGUCCAGAGACCUUCACCUUUCUGGAGCAGGAAUCACAUGAGCUCAAUAUGCUGAUGAAACAUUUCUGAU